rnacentral:tmRNA from 1 species
GGGGAUGCACCGGAUUUGAUUGUACGGUGAGGCAUGCGUAAGCGUACCGAAGCGCCUAGUCUUCGUAAAAAUGGGCAAUUUAAAUUUAAAUGCAGACAAUCGUUUAGCAUUCGCUGCCUAAAUGGUGGCUAUCCUUUAAGAUUUACCGUUGGGUCUUAACAGGGUAUCAGUUUUAGACGGGACGUUGUUUUGAGUUUUUGUUGCGGUUUAAAACAACUAUUUAGCAACACACGGCGCGAUAAGUUUGUUCGUUGAAGUAUAGCGCAAGGGAUUAAAAACGGACUACGUACGUAGAAAGCGGUGAUUAUCCGUGCAAGACGCGGGUUCAACUCCCGCCAUCUCCACCA